rnacentral:rRNA from 1 species
AACGAACGCUGGCGGCAUGCCUAACACAUGCAAGUCGAACGAGACCUUCGGGUCUAGUGGCGCACGGGUGCGUAACGCGUGGGAACCUGCCCUUAGGUUCGGAAUAACUCCCCGAAAGGGGUGCUAAUACCGGAUAAUGUCUUCGGACCAACGAUUUAUCGCCUUUGGAUGGGCCCGCGUUGGAUUAGCUGGUUGGUAGGGUACAAGCCUACCAAGGCGACGAUCCAUAGCUGGUCGGAGAGGAUGAUCAGCUACACUGGGACUGAGACACGGCCCAGACUCCUACGGGAGGCAGCAGUGGGGAAUAUUGGACAAUGGGCGAAGGCCUGAUCCAGCAAUGCCGCGUGAGUGAUGAAGGCCUUAGGGUUGUAAAGCUCUUUUACCCGGGAUGAUAAUGACAGUACCGGGAGAAUAAGCUCCGGCUAACUCCGUG